CUCCAUUCUUUCUCUCCCUCCCUCCUGCGCCUCCACCAGUGAGCCCCUCUGCUCUCCCUCGCUCCGAUCUGGUGGAGCCGCCGCCCCCAACCUCUCUCUCCGACUUCGAUCCGUCGCCGCCUCCAACCGCUCACACCCCACUCCUCUUCCCCUCCUCCUCUGGCAGCCCAGUCGUCAUCGCGACCGAGGACCAGAGACGCGGGCGGGGAGCUCGAGGCGGAGGAGCAGCAGUAGCGGCGGCAGUGGCAAGUCAGGGCAAGGCCAGCAGCGAUGGGGUUCAUCUCCUUCGUCAAGAGGGUGCUCUUCGCCUCCGUCUUCCUCCUCUCCGCCUACCAAGAAUCGGGCCGAAAGAGGGGGAGUUCAGCUCGGGUUCUCCACGUACGUACGCCCAUACUGUGUAGCUCAUGAUUCCUGCUGAGCUAGAGCUACUACUGUGUCUGUUAUGUAUGCAUCACCUCAGGUCAGGCCAUCUCGACUGAACAUCAAUGGAUUUGGAAUCCAUAUACUGUAUCAGCAUGUUUUAUUUUACCCUUUACCAAUUUGUCGAUUUUUGUGGCAUUUUCAUUUGGAAAUUACUUUACUUUGUUGUAUUUUGGAAUGUUGUGCCCUCCUUGAAGUAAUGCUGACCGUAUGACAACUGGAGCUUAUUGGUUGUUGUGUUCUGCUGCUGAGUUGUUGCACAUUCAACUAGCAUCUGUAUUCGGGCAUUCCAGUGAUGGUGCUGACCCCAACGAUGUCGCCGCGCGACCUGGUGAGCAGCAGCUAUGAGAGCUGCACGCCGACGGUGCCGAGCACCAUGAGCAGCAGUUGUUGCAUGCCAAUUGAUUGCUCAGCUCCGCCAACAGCGGCAGUACCAACAGCGUGGUGACUGAUGCAGGCCAACCUUGAGUUCUAUAGCCUCGUCUCCUCCAUGGUCGCGGUUCUGCAGUGUGGCAGGUUCGUGGAUGACCCACAGCUAGCAUGAAGCUGCUGGCCGCCACAGAGGAUGUACCUCCAGCUAGUAUAGAAAGACGGGGGAGGGGAGGAGAUGACAGCGCCGUUGCUCCGGCCCACCGGCUAGCUUGGAUCCCCCCUCAAACUCCAGAGCUUCGAGGCCGCCGUUCUCCUCUAGUUCCUCGCCACCAUGAGGAGGAAGCAAACUUGCUGAAGCAAACUUGCCCGACAAGAAGGGAUCCCUUAAGCUGGACGAAUGGGUGAUGUGUCGGUUGUACAACAAGAAGAACAACUGGGAGAAGGUCAAGGUGGAGUAGGACAUUGCUGUGGAGGCAUGGCCUGGACGCUCGUCAACCUCACCCACUUCGUGAUUACAUACCACUUCUUCCACUGGAAUAGGGGAACUCCAUUCGCUGAUGAUCAAGGGAUGUAUAAUAGAUUGACUUGGUGGGAUCAAAUGGACAACAACAAGCAACUUAGGAAAGCAAUGUUUAUUUGCUCCCACCAAGUCAAUCUAUUAUACAACACCAAGCAAAUUUCUUGUUGUGGUUCCGGUAGUCCUCUAUGUGUUAUUCUGUUUCAAUUUUAUUAAUACUACUUUUGGGAGCUUACUUGGCAAGGAACAACAUGGCAGGAUGUAUGCACAAAGAUUGAUUCUGGCUAGUCAGAAAUACUACACUUAUUCAUUAAUUAUGCAAAGAACACUUGUUAGUAACAUCUAGGUCUAACUUGUAUAUUCAUGUCAUUAUAUAUGUGUAAGGAUUGGCAUUACUCUAUUGCUCUAUUCACGCCAUUAUACAUGAGUAAAAAUUGUUCAAUUAACUUCACUAUCUUUAAUAAUUGAUUAUUCACUUCCGGUUAGUAGUAACUUAAACUAGGCGGCAAACUGGUUAAAUACUUGGCUGUGAUCACGUUUGUGGUUGGUGUGCGAGCAAGCAAAAUCAGAAAUGAUCCCAACUGAUCAUAUUAUUUUUGUGUUUGCUAUAAUUGUCCAUGGACAUUUAAUCUAUUUUGCGUAUAUUAGGUAAAAUAGCAGAGUACAUCAAUUACCAUUUUGUCUGUUGACAUACACUUCCAAAGACCUUUUAGCGCAGAGUUCAUAUAGUUACACAGUGCUUUUUAGCUUACAUAUCAUACAGUUAUGCAGUGCUCCCUACACUGUCUGUUUGCUAUAUAUAUCAUUCAUGUAUUGUUGGAUAGUACUGACUACAUACUAGGGCGAAUUAACCACAAUUUGCCACAAUUUGCAGCGGCUGUGCUCCACCAGUUGUUUUGUGGUUCUUGCAAUCAAGGGGGUUUCUGGCAAGACAGGACCCUCCCUCUUCUGCUUCUUCUACCACCUGUUGUUGUUGAUUGGUCUAUGCACGGUGAAGUGCGAGUCAAAGUCCGAAGCUGUCAAGCAUAUCAACAAGUAGUAGCAUAUUGUGUGUUGUAAUUGUAGGCAGUAGUAAGCAUAUCUGGCUUGUAGUAUACUAUAAUGAUUGUAAUAGACUAAUGUAGUGUUGUUUUGGAUGAAUUUCUAUUGCUCUCUGGUCUGAUAAUUAUUGUGUAUGUGGUUUGAA